UACGUAGGGUGCAGGCGUUAAUCGGAAUUACUGGGCGUAAAGCGUGCGCAGGCGGUUUGCUAAGACAGGUGUGAAAUCCCCGGGCUUAACCUGGGAACUGCGCUUGUAACUGGCAAGCUGGAGUGUGGCAGAGGGGGGUGGAAUUCCACGUGUAGCAGUGAAAUGCGUAGAGAUGUGGAGGAACACCGAUGGCGAAGGCAGCCCCCUGGGCUAACACUGACGCUCAUGCACGAAGGCGUGGGGAGCAAACAGG
rnacentral:rRNA from 1 species